GUUAAACCCGCAAGGAGGUGGCCAUCCAAAGGUAAGAGUUCCCAUAGGGAACCGCCAUCUCCUAUCCACCCUUAGGUGGGUUUGCGGGGAAGGAGGU
rnacentral:ncRNA from 1 species